UCUCUGGUAGUAUAGUGGUGAGUAUCCGCGCCUGUCACGUGCGAGACCGGGGUUCGAUUCCCCGCCAGAGAG
rfam:Parastrongyloides trichosuri strain KNP genome assembly, scaffold: PTRK_scaffold0000050